AGGACAGCAAUGAGCCCUCUGUCCAUCAGCCCACGAGAGACUUAAACUUGACACAACCAUGGGAAGAAAAGGCCAGUCUUUGGAUUGUUCUUUUCUGAUGGGAGUCAACUCUUCUAUUUGGUUUUAAGAAUGUCUUUUGGGAGCCUGGUAUUCCCAGUUGCCUGCUGUCCACCCAGUGUUCAAGUACAACCAGCACCCCGCCACCUGCCUCCUGAGAUAGUUCUAGAAAAGCCUUAUACCAGGUCUUGCCCAUGGCAGGAUUAGAGUUUGUGGGACUAAGAGAAGUAGAUCUUAUUCUUUGCCUUCAGAAAAGAAAGCUUAUUUGCAUUUUAUAAUGAGAAAGACAAGACACAUUAUACAGUCCUUCAAAAUAAAAAAGCUAGUAAUGAAAA